GACGAACGCUGGCGGCGUGCCUAAUACAUGCAAGUAGAACGCUGAAGGAGGAGCUUGCUCUUCUGGAUGAGUUGCGAACGGGUGAGUAACGCGUAGGUAACCUGCCUGGUAGCGGGGGAUAACUAUUGGAAACGAUAGCUAAUACCGCAUAAGAGUAGAUGUUGCAUGACAUUUACUUAAAAGGUGCAAUUGCAUCACUACCAGAUGGACCUGCGUUGGAUUAGCUAGUUGGUGGGGUAACGGCUUACCAAGGCGACGAUACAUAGCCGACCUGAGAGGGUGAACGGCCACACUGGGACUGAGACACGGCCCAGACUCCUACGGGAGGCAGCAGUAGGGAAUCUUCGGCAAUGGACGGAAGUCUGACCGAGCAACGCCGCGUGAGUGAAGAAGGGUUUCGGAUCGUAAAGCUCUGUUGUAAGAGAAGAACGAGUGUGAGAGUGGAAAGUUCACACUGUGACGGUAUCUUACCAGAAAGGGACGGCUAACUACGUG
rnacentral:rRNA from 1 species